rnacentral:rRNA from 1 species
AGUGAACGCUGGCGGUAGGCCUAACACAUGCAAGUCGAACGGCAGCACAGUAAGAGCUUGCUCUUACGGGUGGCGAGUGGCGGACGUGUGAGGAAUACAUCGGAAUCUACUUUUUCGUGGGGGAUAACGUAGGGAAACUUACUCUAAUACCGCAUACGACCUUCGGUUGAAAGCAGGGGAUCUUCGUACCUUGCGCGAUUGAAUGAGCCGAUGUCGGAUUAGCUAGUUGGCGGGGUAAAGGCCCACCAAGGCGACGAUCCGUAGCUGGUCUGAGAGGAUGAUCAGCCACACUGGAACUGAGACACGGUCCAGACUCCUACGGGAGGCAGCAGUGGGGAAUAUUAGACAAUGGGCGCAAGCAUGGUCCAGCCAUACCGCGUGGGUGAAGAAGGCCUUCGGGUUGUAAAGCCCUUUUGUUGGGAAAGAAAAGCAGCAGGUUAAUACCCCGCUGUUCUGACGGUACCCAAAGAAUAAGCACCGGCUAACUUCGUG